rnacentral:lncRNA from 1 species
ACAGCUUAAGCUCCACAUCUCUUCUCGAUUAAAAAAUUUGCUCUUCAUAAAACAAACACUUUCUGAACUCUUCUCAAAAAAUUCUAAGCAAACUCCAUAAUAAUUCAAAACUAUAAAACUCAAUCAAAAUCUUCUCUUUCUCCUUGUUUAAUUCACGAGAAAUCACUUUGAAAUCCAACUUUUUUACACAAAAUUGAUAACCCCUCACUUUAAAAUUAUUUGAUAUCACUCCUUAGUAGAAACAUCAACUUUACAACAUUCCCAUCCAUCUUCAAAAAC